rnacentral:rRNA from 1 species
UACGUAGGGGGGCAAGCGUUGUCCGGGAUUUAUUGGGCGUAAAGAGCUCGUAGGCGGCUUGUCGCGUCGACUGUGAAAACCCCGCGGCUCAACCGCGGGCCUGCAGCCGAUACGGGCAGGCUAGAGUUCGGUAGGGGAGACUGGAAUUCCUGGUGUAGCGGUCGAAAUGCGCAGAUAUCAGGAGGAACACCCGAUGGCGAAGGCAGGUCUCUGGGCCGA